GACGAACGCUGGCGGCGCGCUUAACACAUGCAAGUCGAGCGAUGAAACUUUAACAGAACCCUUCGGGGCGAAGAUAAAGUGGAUUAGCGGCGGACGGGUGAGUAACACGUGAGUAACCUUCCUUAGACAUUGGUAUAGCCUCUGGAAACCGGGAUUAAUACCAAAUAAAAUCAUAAUGACACAUGUCAUAACGAUCAAAACUCCGUUGUUCUAAGAUGGACUCGCGUCCCAUUAGCUAGUUGGUAGAGUAAAAGCCUACCAAGGCGACGAUGGGUAGCCGGCAAGAGAGGGUGAACGGACACAUUGGAACUGAGAAACGGACCAAAAUACUACGGGAGGCAGGAGUGGGGAAUAUUGAAAAAUGGAGGGAACGAAGAUGCAGCGACGACGCGAGAAAGAAGAAGGCUUUAGAGAAGUAAAGUUCUUUUAAAUGGGAAGAUAAUGACGGUACCAUAAGAAAAAGCCCCGGCUAACUACGUG
rnacentral:rRNA from 1 species